AUGGGAUUUUUGCUCCUUGUAAUUUUCGCUGUAGCCGCUUUGGAAGGUGUCCGGUCCCAGGUGCAGCUGGUGGAGUCCGGAGGGGAUGUGAAAAAGCCCGGAGACUCUCUCCGCCUCUCCUGCAAAGCCUCCGGCUUCACCUUCAGCAGCUGGGAUAUGAACUGGGUCCGGCAGGCUCCCGGCAAGGGACUAGAAUGGGUCGCUUAUAUUAGCAGCAGUGGGGGUACUGCAUACCCUGAUUCAGUGAAAGGCCGAUUCACCAUCUCCAGGGAUGAUCCCAAGAGUGAGCUGUAUCUGCAAAUGACCGGCCUGAAGCCCGAGGACACCGCCCGCUAUUACUGUGCGAGACACAGUGACACGAAACCGCCGCAGGUUGUUCUGACCCAGGCGGUUCUGAAGCGAAGCAGCCCGGAGAAUCCACCUGCUGAAAUGUGCCGGGACCGGGUUUAA